rnacentral:rRNA from 1 species
GGACGAACGCUGGCGGCGUGCUUAACACAUGCAAGUCGAACGGAAAGGUCUCUUCGGAGAUACUCGAGUGGCGAACGGGUGAGUAACACGUGGGUAAUCUGCCCUGCACUUCGGGAUAAGCCUGGGAAACUGGGUCUAAUACCGAAUAGGACCACUUGGCGCAUGCCUUGUGGUGGAAAGCUUUUGCGGUGUGGGAUGGGCCCGCGGCCUAUCAGCUUGUUGGUGGGGUGAUGGCCUACCAAGGCGACGACGGGUAGCCGGCCUGAGAGGGUGUCCGGCCACACUGGGACUGAGAUACGGCCCAGACUCCUACGGGAGGCAGCAGAAGGG